UACAGAGGCCCCAAGCAUUACCCGGAAUCACUGGGCGUAAAGGGUGUGUAGGUUGCAUGGUUAGUCCUCUCUUAAAUCUUUUCUGCUCAACAGAGAAGCUCGGGGGGAAACGGCCAUGCUUGAGGAUGUAAGAGGUAUGUGGAACUCACGGUGUAGGGGUGAAAUCCGUUGAUAUCGUGGGGAACACCGAAUGCGAAGGCAGCAUACUGGGACAUUCCUGACACUGAGACACGAAAGCGUGGGGAGCGAAAAGG
rnacentral:misc_RNA from 1 species